rnacentral:rRNA from 1 species
UACGUAGGGGGCAAGCGUUGUCCGGAUUUAUUGGGCGUAAAGAGCUCGUAGGCGGUUUGUCGCGUCGGAUGUGAAAACCUGGGGCUUAACCUCGGGCCUGCAUUCGAUACGGGCAGACUAGAGUUCGGUAGGGGAGACUGGAAUUCCUGGUGUAGCGGUGAAAUGCGCAGAUAUCAGGAGGAACACCGGUGGCGAAGGCGGGUCUCUGGGCCGAUACUGACGCUGAGGAGCGAAAGCGUGGGGAGCGAACAGG